rnacentral:lncRNA from 1 species
UAAUGAUGGAUAUUUGUUAUCUAUUUAUAGUUUUAUGAUAUGGUACUUUGAAUAUAUUGUUGAGAUUAAAAUUGUUAUUGUAGCAUAUGUUUUUUGAAUGCACCAGGCUUGGAUCGGUCCACUCACACAGACGGUCGCUCUGACACCUGAGUAGUGUGCAGGAUGAGACAGCUUACACCUGGACUUAUGUUGUCGGUAUAGGUGCCUUGAUACAUGAGGGG